rnacentral:misc_RNA from 1 species
UUAUUAUUUAUUAUUAUUAUUUUUAAUUUCAAUUUCCUUUUAUUGUAAAUUUCCGGAUAGUGGGUACGUAGAUUUUUCUUGUGUGAAAAUAGGAUGGUGUUUCUGUAUUUAGAAUUUUAUUUCGAGGGUAUUAUUGUAAUCGCAAGUAGUUCGUAGUGGUAACUGCCCAGAAGUGGGAAGCUAAAAUAUCUGUAUUUUUUGAUGAAGUAACAAAAUUGCCCUUAGAUGAAUG